rnacentral:rRNA from 1 species
UACGUAGGGGGCAAGCGUUGUCCGGAUUUAUUGGGCGUAAAGCGCUCGCAGGUGGUUCAUUGCGUCGUGCGUGAAAGACCCCGGCUCAACUGGGGAGGGUCGUGCGAAACGGGCGAACUAGAGGCCAGUAGGGGGAUGCGGAAUUCCGGGUGUAGUGGUGGAAUGCGUAGAGAUCCGGAGGAACACCAGCGGCGAAGGCGGCAUCCUGGACUGGUCCUGACACUCAGGAGCGAAAGCGUGGGGAGCGAUCCGG